rnacentral:rRNA from 1 species
CGUACACUCCUGCGGGAGGCAGCAGUGAGGAAUAUUGGACAAUGGGUGGAAGCCUGAUCCAGCCAUCCCGCGUACAGGAAGACGGCCCUAUGGGUUGUAAACUGCUUUUAUCUGGGGAUAAACCUACUUACGUGUAAGUAGCUGAAGGUACCAGAAGAAUAAGCACCGGCUAACUCCGUGCCAGCAGCCGCGGUAAUACGGAGGGUGCAAGCGUUAUCCGGAUUUAUUGGGUUUAAAGGGUCCGUAGGCGGACUGAUAAGUCAGUGGUGAAAUCCGACAGCUUAACUGUCGAACUGCCAUUGAUACUGUUAGUCUUGAGUAAGGUUGAAGUGGCUGGAAUAAGUAGUGUAGCGGUGAAAUGCAUAGAUAUUACUUAGAACACCAAUUGCGAAGGCAGGUCACUAAGUCUUAACUGACGCUGAUGGACGAAAGCGUGGGGAGCGAACAGGAUUAGAAACCCCUGUAGUCCCAUG